rnacentral:ncRNA from 2 species
ACACGUUCCAAGGGGCGCCGGUAGACCGGCUGAGAUCGUUGUUCGCCAACGAGCACCCUCCGAACCUGAUCCGGCUCGUACCGGCGAAGGGAUGGACGCUGUUUUCCCA